rnacentral:lncRNA from 1 species
AGCACUAGCGGUGAGGUUCCAUCUGAAGGAGCGGAACUGGUUCAUGGACCAGGCAAUGCCUUCGGUGUUCUCUGGUGGGGGUGUUGGGAGCUCAGGAGAAGCUGGGCCCUUGCCGUUGGCGUAGCGGAUGAUGGCCACGGAGGAAAGGGCUUGCUUCAAGAACCGGCUUGAAACAACCAAGUAAUAGUCCUUGGGCUCCUGAUCAGCGGUGACCAAUACUGAGAGGCAUUGACCAACAUGGAGGUCCAAGGAAUCGUAGAUGUUUUGUACGGUGUGGGAUCCCUCUAGCUCGACUAAUUUCAUUGGGUGACCUUGGAAUCUGACGUUGACUGAUGACCUCAUACCAAGGUUGCAGAAUCUGUACCUAUAGGUCUUGCCGGCCUCCAUGGUAAAGAGUGGCUCUUUUGCCUCUCCAACCUUGGCAGACUUACCAUUGAUGAUAAUGCCAUCAGCCCUGCCAAUGGUGCGUCCACCGUCCAAGAUCUUUUUCAAGGUCUUGUGACCCUUGUUGUACCAAUCCCCGACGAACACAUUGUAUUCGUCAGCAGGAUUGUCAAAGGGAACUGGGAUAAGAGCACGGCUGUGGACAUUGAGGGCACCAUAACCACCCGCUGCCCGGUGCAAGGCUG